rnacentral:rRNA from 1 species
GGAGGGGGCAAGCGUUAUUCGGAAUCAUUGGGGCGUAAAGGGGCAGGUAGGCGGCCUAGCAUGUCCAAUGUGAAAGCCCUCGGGCUCAACUGAGGAAUUGCAUUGGAAACUGCUGGGCUUGAGUCCCGGGAGAGGGAAGCGGAAUUCCCAGUGUAGCGGUGAAAUGCGUAGAUAUUGGGAGGAACACCAGUGGCGAAGGCGGCUUCCUGGACCGGUACUGACGCUCAGCUGCGAAAGCCAGGGGAGCAAACGGGAUUAGAUACCCCGGUAGUCCUGGCUGUAAACGAUGAGCACUUGGUGUGGCGGGUAUCGACCCCUGCUGUGCCGAAGCUAACGCAUUAAGUGCUCCGCCUGGGGAGUACGGUCGCAAAGGCUG